UUAAUGCCUUUGGUCGCCUGUAGUACCGGACCCUUAAACAAAUUAUUACUCCGUACUAAUAUACAUAUGUAUCACUCAGAUCUUCUGAGUAGUCUACUUAAAGAUCCAUUGCUAAAUCCCCGCUAAUUGCAUCUAAGAUAACUGAGUGCAAAUUUUUGGCCUGUGAUACUGCGUCACACUGUAUUUGGAAGCACUCUGGUUUUUCUUUCCACAUCUUGACACACCUACAAAGAGUGUUGUCAGUCUUUUGAUGCAAGAUAGUUUUCAGAGGAUAUGCAAUGUAAGAUUACUAAGAAUGAAACUGAGCAUAUUCAGGAAUGUUCAUUCAUCUAUGAUUAAAGCCUAUAAGGAUCUUGAUCAUUCGACAAGCCUUUUUUAGAAGCCUUUAAAAAAAUACUUUGCAGUAUGUUGGAGUUGAGAUGUCUUAACGUCGGAUAGCGCUGCAGAACUCGGAAGGAGAUCCAUGCUGAUGCAGCUUGCGUUGAUUUGAGGAUUCGGUGCCCUUACUUUUAUGAGCUAGGAUGCAAGAUUGUUCCUUUGUAAUUUCUGAAUGACUUCAAUUCUUGAUUCAUCGUUACAAUGUUUCUGUAUGAUCUUUGUUAGAAAUAGUUUUUUUUAGACAUGUUAGAAAUAGUUAGUUACUCAAGAGUGUGGAUUUUGUACACACAAGCAUGGGUGUGGGUGUACUCUAUGCCAUCCGAUUGAACCUAGAGAUUCGUGCAAAGUUUGGCUGGAUGGAACAUUUUCCUCCGCAGCUCUCAUUUUACUGUCACAUCAAUGGCCUAUUUUCUCCUGCCUUUUCGCCGCCCGACACGGUUCGUGGCUGCUGAUGUCGGGGACAGACCCAAGCAGAGACGCGUAGGGGCCCGGUACUCCAUCCCCAACCUCUCUCCCCGGUCAUCUCUUCCGGUCGCGGCAACUGCUCGCCGUCCAUCCCCAACCUCUCUCCUCUCCUCGUGCUGUAGGUGCUGGGAAAAGAUCCUUGAUUUUCCCCCAGCCACCACUCCAUCCCCCAACCUCUCUCCUCUCCUCGCCGCAGUGCCACCAGGUAGCUACAUGGAGCCGCCGGGAGUCCUGUCCCUGGAGGCGUCUCCACCGUGCUGCUGAGCAAGCAGGCAAUGGCCGCUGCUGUCUGCGGUCUCCAUAUAUCCAUCUUCUUCCUCCGGUAUCGAAGGGUGGGAAGGAGGGCCGAGGGUGGAAGAGAUCCCGCGACAUGUAGGCGGCUCAAGUGAGAGGGGACUAGGAGGCGGUUAGCAUCGGGAAGAGAAGCAGCGGCCGGAGGUAGGACGGGAGUUGACCAUCUGGAGCCUGAUUUGUUCUUCUCAUUUAUUUUCCGAUCCGACUUGGUUUGUUCUACUAUCUAGAUUUGCUUCCACUUUUGGUCAUAUAUAUCUGGAGGGAAUAUGUUGUUCACGAUGUCUUUUCGUUCGACCCAGAUCCAAUUUGUUCAUUAGCUGUUCUUCAGCUAUCAUCUUCAUGACAUGCAUCAUAGGCACACCAAUUUUUUCUUCCAUUUACUGUAAAAAAAUACUACUCCCUCCGUUCCUUUCUAUAGUGCCUAUAGAUUUUUGACAUUUGUUUCAGAAUAUUAGGUUUUAGCUUAGCUUUUUUUCAAUUACCCCCUCCCCGUUCAGCUCCCAAAUCGUUCAGCUCCCAAAAUUGUUAUGGUAAGUUAGGAAGAUAUGGAUUUCCCAAGUUUUACGUUGAUGUCAAAUCGUUCAGCUAGGGGUCUUGUGCAAAAAAUACUCUUGCGCUAAUUUCCGUGCCAAAAAACAAUAGGCACUAUAGAAUGGAACAGAGGAAGUAUGUUUUUUCUUCAAUGUAGCAUGUGUUCGCAGUGGCAUGUACAAGUCUGACCAUCUUUUCCUCUGGAAUUUCUGAUGCGCACAUAUUGUUUGACGUAGUCCUGUGCACUUGACAAAUUCGAAUGUGGUGUCUCAUGUGUUCCAGAUUCAUUAAUUUUGGAUCCAAGUGUGCAGUAUUCCAUCUCUCUUAUCUUCUCUCUUUCACCAAGCAUUUGUAGCAUAUGGUUUUUGUGUCAGAUUAUUUCCUUGACUUGAGUUCCGAAUUGUUUCCAGGUUAAUGGUAUAAUUCUUACAUAUUUGUUUCCAAGUUGAUUGAUUAGCUCAUAAAACAAAGAUGCAAAAGCCUUCAAUAUAGAAUAUAAAAUUAGGCAGCGGUAUCUAGAAAUCUAUUCUGUCAAUGCAAACAAUAUAUUCUAUCAGUGCAAAGAACACUAGCAAUCUAUUCUGUCCGUGCAAAAAACACUAGCAAUCUAUUCUGUCAAUGCAAACAAUAUAUUCUAUCAGUGCAAAGAACACUAGCAAUCUAUUCUGUCCGUGCAAAAAACACUAGCAAUCUAUUCUGUCAAUGCAAAGAACACUAGCAAUCAGUUCUCCAUUUUCUGCUGCAAACAAAUUUCUUGCUAGCUCAACUUGCUACCCUGGUUCCACUAAGAAAAAAAAAGUAAGUAGGCAAAAAACAGUAGGAGUUAGCAACCAUCCAAAACAUAAGAUGAUGGGAUGCAUCUCUUCUGUCUAUGCUAUUUUUUGACUUUAGUUCGGACAUGGGGAUUCAAGUUAUGAAACAGACAGCUUUGGAGGAGAUACUUGACGAGGUUGUUGCCGGCCAUGCCGUCGAGGAGGAGCAUGUCGCGGAGAACUGGUAUUCUUCUGAAGAAACCACGCAGGCAGAACAAAUGUAGCGCAUGUGAAGGCACCGGCCAUAAUUCUGCGACAUGUACUGCUGGAGUGGAAGUAGCAGAUGCUUAGUGCAAGGACUCCAACGUACUAUAUCUUAGCUAUUUUCUUGACACUAUCUGUUGUAAGGGAUUUCUAAUGUAAUCUUGUUGACCUGUUCUGUCGCAUUUCCAGUUCAGCUCUGCAAUGCUACAGCUUAGCUAUUUUGUCGAUUGAGACAUGAGAUUUCUCAAUCAUGUGGUGUGCACUUUGCACUAUGUUACAUCAAAUCUUUUGUGCUGAGCAAUGUGUUAUAUGGUAGUACAGAGCAACUGAACUAACUAGAGGAAUGCCAGGCUGAAAAUGUUGUAUGUGCUUACAAUGGAUACGUCUAUUUUCUA